CUGGCUCCGCAUGGUCAGUGCCAUUUCGCCUUUAUCGUGGUGGAGUCCACCGUGGCUGUGGACCUGUUCAAACUCUGUCUCUUGACUGGAGGAGGAGGAGGAAAAGCUGAGCACAUUGCCAACUGGAGUUCUCCAAGAAUGGCAAGUUAAAACCAAAGUGUCAGCACUUCAACAACAUUUUUUUUUGGCUUAAAACAUCAAACGGCAUACAAAUGGU
rnacentral:lncRNA from 1 species